GUCCCUGUAGCACAAUGAAUAGUGAGUUGGAUUUCUAAUCCGAAAGUCGUGAAUUCAAAUUCCACCUGGGAUG